UCUCCGGCCGGCCGGAGAGAAAUCGGGAGGACGAAUGGCACAAUCUGAUAAGGGGAUGCCCCAAAUUGGCAUGAUAUUCAAAAGUAAAGAGGAAGCUUGGCUUUUUUGGGCAGCAUAUGGAGGACGUGUAGGCUUUGAAGUGAGGAAGAGGAAAACUACAAUCUCAACUUCAGUUUUACCAAACUCCUCACAGCUUCUACUUGUGAUGAUGAUAGUUUUUAUGGUGAAAAUAUGUUAUAAUAUCUAGAUGUUGGUUACAUGGUACUUU